GGAUUAGGCAUGCAAGUCGAACGCGUGAGAGGGGCUUGCUCCUCAAGCGAGUGGCGAACGGGUGAGUAACGCGUGGGAAACCUGCCCCGAAGCGUGGAAUAACACUCCCAACGGGGUGCUAAUACCGCAUGGUAUCGCCGGGUGGCAUUAUUUGGCGAUUAAAGGUGGGGACCGUAAGGCCUGCCACUUUGGGAUGGUCCCGCGUCUGAUUAGCUUGUUGGUGAGGUAACGGCUCACCAAGGCGACGAUCAGUAGCUGGUCUGAGAGGAUGGUCAGCCACACUGGGACUGAGAUACGGCCCAGACUCCUACGGGAGGCAGCAGUCGAGAGGCUUCGGCAAUGGGCGAAAGCCUGACCGAGCGACGCCGCGUGAGCGAAGAAGGCCCUAUGGGUUGUAAAGCUCUGUCAGAUUGGGAAGAAAACCUCGUGAUUAAUACCUGCGAGGCUUGACGGUACCAUCAGAGGAAGCACCGGCUAACCCCGUGCCAGCAGCCGCGGUAAUA
rnacentral:rRNA from 1 species